AUGGACCAAAUGGUUUGGAAGGUUUGGACCCCUCCGAAAGUCAAGUUCUUUGCUUGGCUCGCGCUUCAAGAUAGGAUCUGGACUGCAGACAUAUUGCAGAGGCGAGGCUGGCCAAACUGUGGCCCUUGUCCCUUGUGCAGAGGGGUGCAGGAGUGCGGUCCCCAUCUAUUCUUCAGAUGCCGCUUCACCCUCAGGCUCUGGAACAUGGUGAUUCAGAAGCUCUGCAUCCACGACGUGGACACGUCCGCAUGGCACUUGUACGACUCCAUCAAGGAAUGGUGGGCGAGUUUGAGCGCCGAGGGCACCGCCAACCGAAAAGUGAAGGCUUCGAUAACCAUGUUGGUUUCAUGGGUGAUCUGGAAUGAGCGUAAUGCAAGGGUGUUUAGACAUAAGUGUGCCCCUCCGCAUGUCUUGCUAAACAAUGUGAUCGAAGAGUCCAACCUUUGGGUUAAAGCCGAGGCGAAAAAUUUAGGGUCUUUCUUAUUGCGAGAGUAA
rnacentral:rRNA from 1 species